UGGGGAAUAUUGCACAAUGGAGGGAACUCUGAUGCAGCGACGCCGCGUGAGUGAUGAAGGAAUUCGUUUCGUAAAACUCUGUUCUAUGGGAAGAAAAGGACUGUACCAUAGGAGAAAGCUCCGGCUAAAUACGUGCCAGCAGCCGCGGUAAUACGUAUGGAGCGAGCGUUGUCCGGAAUUAUUGGGCGUAAAGGGUGCGCAGGCGGCUUUACAAGUUGGGUGUGAAAUAUUGUGGCUCAACCACAAACGUGCAUCCAAAACUGCAAAGCUUGAGUUAAGGAGAGGUAAGUGGAAUUCCUGGUGUAGCAGUGGAAUGCGUAGAUAUCAGGAGGAAUACCGGUGGCGAAGGCGACUUACUGGACUUAUACUGACGCUCAGGCACGAAAGCGUGGGGAGCAAACAGG
rnacentral:rRNA from 1 species